GGGGAAAAAUUAAUAAAGUAUAAAUAAUAAAAAAAUUUUUGACGUUAAAAACAAAUAAUGGGGGUUAAAGUAUUUUUAAUAGAAAAAAUAAGAAAAUUUAUAGAAAAUUAGUAUUGUAAAAGAAAUUUUAAAAUUAAAAUGAAUUUAAAUUAAAGAAAAUUUAAUUUAUUGUAUCUUGUGUAUCAGAGUUUAUUAAAUAAUUUUUAUUUAAUAUAAAAAUCUCGAAUUUAAAAGAGUUAAUUAAUUAAAAAAGUUAAUGUUGAAUAAUUAUUUUAAAUAAUUAAUUAGAAAUUAGAUGUUAAUCGUUUUUAAAUAUAUCUAGUUAUUUUAGAAAAAAAUUUAAUUUAAAAUUUAAAUAAUUUUAAUAUUUAAUAAUAAAAUUUUAAAAAUUUAAAUUUAAUAUAUUAAGGGAUAAGCUUUAAAUUAAAAAUUUAUAAUAAAUAUUAUUUAUAUAAUUAAAAUUUUUAAAAUUUAUAUUGUUUAAGAAUUUUAAUUUAUUAUAAAAAAUUUUAAUUAAAAUAAAAUUUAAUAAAAUAAAUUUAAAUUUAUAUAAAAUAAUAAUUUUUAAUAAUAAUAAAUUAGAAAUAAUGAUAAAAUUAGUAUAAUUUAAAAUAUAAAAAUAUAAAUAAAAAUUAAAGUUAAAUUUAAGGAAUUCGGCAAAAAUAAAUAUUCACUUGUUUAUCAAAAACAUGUCUUUUUGAUAAUAAUUUAAAGCCUAAUCUGCCCACUGAUAAAAAUUAAAGGGCUGCAGUAUUUUGACUGUACAAAGGUAGCAUAAUCAAUAGUUUUUUAAUUGAAAACUUGAAUGAAAGAUUUAAUGAAAUAUAAACUGUCUCAAUAUUAUUAUUAAAAUUUUAUUUUUUAGUUAAAAAGCUAAAAUAAUUUUAAAAGACGAGAAGACCCUAUAGAGUUUUAUAUUUUUAUUAAUUAUUAAAUUAUAUUAAAAUUUAUAUUUAAAAUAAAUAAAAAUAUUAUAUUGGGGUGAUAAAAAAAUAAAAUUAACUUUUUAAAAAUAAAAUAUAGAUAAGUAAGUAAUUGAUCCAUUAAUAAUGAUUAAAAGAAAAAAUUACCUUAGGGAUAACAGCGUAAUAUUUUUUUUUAGUUCAAAUAAAAAAAAAAGUUUGCGACCUCGAUGUUGGAUUAAGAUAAAAUUUAAAUGCAAAAGUUUAAAAUUUUGAUCUGUUCGAUCAUUAAAAUCUUACAUGAUCUGAGUUCAAACCGGGGUAAGCCAGGUUGGUUUCUAUCUUUAAAUAAUAAAAUAUUUUA
rnacentral:rRNA from 1 species